rnacentral:rRNA from 1 species
AACGUAGGAGACAAACGUUAUCCGGAGUUACUGGGCGUAAAGGGCGUGUAGGUGGUUUUGUAAGUCUGGCGUGAAAUUUUUCGGCUUAACCGGGAAAGGUCGUCGGAUACUGCAGGACUGGAGGACGGUAGAGGCGUGUGGAAUUCCGGGUGUAGUGGUGAAAUUCGUAGAUAUUCGGAGGAACACCAGUGGCGAAGGCGGCUCACUGGCUCGGUACUGACGCUGAGGUGCGAAAGCGUGGGGAGCAAACAGG